rnacentral:misc_RNA from 1 species
AAGACUAUAGACCUGCGGAGUACCUGCGGAGGGAUCAUUACCGAGUUAUCCAACUCCCAACCCCUGUGAAUCAUACCUUUAAUUGUUGCUUCGGCGGGACUUCGCGCCCGCCGGGGACCCAAACCUUCUGAAUUUUUUAAUAAGUAUCUUCUGAGUGGUUAAAAAAAAUGAAUCAAAACUUUCAACAACGGAUCUCU